UACGGAGGGAGCUAGCGUUGUUCGGAAUUACUGGGCGUAAAGCGCACGUAGGCGGCUUUUUAAGUCAGGGGUGAAAUCCCGGGGUUCAACCCCGGAACUGCCCUUGAAACUGGAGAGCUAGAAUCUUGGAGAGGCGAGUGGAAUUCCGAGUGUAGAGGUGAAAUUCGUAGAUAUUCGGAAGAACACCAGUGGCGAAGGCGACUCGCUGGACAAGUAUUGACGCUGAGGUGCGAAAGCGUGGGGAGCAAACAGG
rnacentral:rRNA from 1 species